CCUUCCCACAGGGAAGCGGCGCCGUGAUAGGCUGGACCCUGAGGGCGGAAGUGGCGUCACAGAAUGCCUUCAUGAGGACGGAAACACUCAGUGAUUGGCUCGGAGGAACUCAGGGCAGAAGUGGUGUGCAAGGCUUGCCGGCACUGUGGGCGGAAGCGCCCGGGCCGGGCCGCCGAGGCGCGGUACCGCAACGAGGUUUGUCACAGAGCGUUGCCGGAGUACUGUUUUAUUUGUAUUUGUGAAGACGGCAGAAUGAAAGAUAGCAGCUUGGCGACUCGCACCGAGAUGGUAGACGCCCUGGAUUUAAAGACAGUGUGUAUUAAAUGAAGUAUGAGAAGAAACAGCUUCUUCGGACGCUUGCGCUCCUCUUCAGCUCAUGCAGAAGGCUGACAGCCUGUCUCAUUCUUGUCAGUGCUAUCCCACCAGCUCCUUUAGGAGCUCAGCACCGCAUUUGGCCUGUCGCGAUCUUCCCAAUCCCCUCAUUUCUGUGCUGCAAUGCCACCAUCCACAAGAAGUCAGUGGAUGUACCCAGCAUCACCUUGGGGCUACAUAGAAAGUGAAAAUUUCUAGUAUGUUAAUGUUACUCUGUUAACAAAACUGACGUACUAGCUGCUUGCUGCUUCUAUUUUUUUGUUUUUCUUUUCAGUGGUCUCCUCAAAAGUUGUUGUGAACACAUUGUGUAUCUUUUCUGUUCUUCCAGGAUUCAUUCGUCUGGAAAGACGACCAUGAAAUCUGAGGGCUGUGAACAACUAUCUACCAGAUGAUUGUUGCAGAUGAUUGUUGUCACGUCAUUCAUCCUUUUAGCUUACUCUUUCCUUUAUCUUGAGUUGAAUUUUUGUGCAGCGCUGUGUUUGCAGUGAUAGGAGAAAAGCUCUUUCCGGAGAGAUGGAGAAGGAAUUAAUUAUACCUCUGCCUCAUCCUAUGAGACCAGAAGACAUGGAGUCACUGUAAGCUGUGAUUCUCAGGAGACAUACUAAGAGUCACGGGUUCCUUCUCUGCCU